UACAUGGGGUGCAAACGUUGCUCGGAAUUAUUGGGCGUAAAGCGCGCGUAGGCGGUUACUUAAGUCGGAUGUGAAAGCCCUCGGCUUAACUGAGGAAGUGCACCCGAAACUGAGUAGCUAGAGUACGAAAGAGGGUCGCGGAAUUCCCGGUGUAGAGGUGAAAUUCGUAGAUAUCGGGAAGAACACCGGUGGCGAAGGCGGCGACCUGGGUCGAGACUGACGCUGAGGCGCGAAAGCGUGGGGAGCAAACAGG
rnacentral:rRNA from 1 species